UACGGAGGGUGCGAGCGUUGUCCGGAAUCAUUGGGCGUAAAGGGCGCGUAGGUGGCGCGGCAAGCGUGCGGUGAAAGCUCGGGGCUCAACCCCGAGUCGGCCGUGCGAACUGCUGGGCUUGAGCACUGUAGAGGCAGGCGGAAUUCCGGGUGUAGCGGUGGAAUGCGUAGAGAUCCGGAAGAACACCGGUGGCGAAGGCGGCCUGCUGGGCAGUAGCUGACACUGAGGAGCGAAAGCGUGGGGAGCGAACAGG
rnacentral:rRNA from 1 species